GUAUUAAUUGCGUGUGAUCGCAAAAAGAAAAACAUUCUACACUGUAUCGAGUUUGUGUGAAAACGUGAGCCCCCGAAAGGGGACCCACGCGGUGGUGCACAUAGGGGUGAGAUGGAUGUUUGAGAACGCUCGGGCGUGCACGACGAAAAAGUCAGCGACAGCCCCGGCACCUCCGUUAUACGAUAAUGAUCCUUCCGCAGGUUCACCUACGGAAA
rnacentral:misc_RNA from 1 species